UCGUCCUGACGCGGGUCCUGGUCCCCGCCUGGAUCAUCCUCUACUACGUGAAGUACCACGUCAUGAAAAUGCCGCACGGUGCUGUUACGUCAAACCCACGGAUUUUCCCGGGGGACAGGAUUUUAGAGACGGGAGAAAUUAUUCCACCCCUGAAAGAAGAACCCCACGAGCACCACUGAUGGCAAACGGCUGAUGUCCUUCUGCCGCGAACAAGGCGAGAACUGCAACGGCUUUCUCUCUCUUAUAAAAGAGUCUUUAUGCUG